rnacentral:lncRNA from 1 species
GGCAGUUGGGUGUUUCUUGGAAAGAUCACUCCCCGUUGCUUUUCCCAUCUUUGCUUUUCCCAUCCUUUGCUUUUCCCAUCCUUCGCUCCUCCAUCCGCGGCCGUUACCCCAGCCCUCGAGCACCAGAAAUAGAAACUCGGAGGCUGGCGUCGAGGCUAGACAUGGACUCCGCGCCUGGCCCCUUCCAGAUCCCAGUUUUCUAAAGUGACUUCGCACCAAAGUCCGGGCUCCCUAAUUUAUGCGUUUUUAGACCCUUAAGCAUCAUUUUGUGGGCAACCAAACGGGCACUUCCAAAUUAGCUCAAAGUAUCCAAGCCCAGAGAAGAGAGAAAACACACAUACACUGAUAAAUACGCAGAUGCUAACUUGUAAGUAUUCUGUUUUUCCUCUGUGGGGAUGGAAAUUGAACAAGGGAAAGAGGGGGAACAUUUUUAUUUCCUAAAAUGUUUCCUACUGAGUUUGCACUUGUAAAGUUUUUUCUGCUUUCUUUCCCUUUGUGUGUGUUCUUACUCUCUUUCUCUCAGUAAAUAUCUCUGACUUAAGUUUAUUCUCCCAUCACUACCGUGAUCAAAAAGAAGAGAAAGACAAAAUAUCAAAACUUCCAAAUAUUUCUAGUUGUUCGCAACGGGUCUUUUUGUUGUUGUUGGAAAAAUAUAACCUGUUCAAGCGAUAUGAAAAUGGAUGCAGAAAUCAGGUCUUUUAUGAACUUGAAACACAUCGGCUAGGUCUUCAUCCUCACCUGCACUGGAAUUACCUACUUAAGAAAAACAAACUAAUGAUACACAAAGAAGCACUUAUGUAUGUAUUUAAACACUUGCUGGGAUCCUUCUGAAAACUACAGUUUGAAUUUUACGUUUCCGGUUUAGUUUAAAUUGUAUUGUUUACUUGUAUGUAUUAGCUUAAAUAAAAUAAUAGUCAUUUCAAAUGUUUCUCAGAGACAACAGGGUAAGUAAAAAAUAGUUGUGUUAUGACAUCUGUGAAUAUAAAAGUUAUUUGUGGCCCAUUAUAUUUUAUUUUUCAAGUUCAAACGUAUUUCAAAUAUGAAACGCAUUAUCAUAAUCUCCAUAUUGAUUAGUUGUCCAAGUUGAAAAGUGUUUACAAUUUUAAUUUUUUCCAGAUGAUUAUUACUCUGUUUUCAGGCUAUAAAUUUCAUCUCAUGUAAUUUUCUUUGUAGAACUUUGACAUAGCAGUUAACAUCAAGUGGUUGUACUACAAUUUUUGCUUAUUUUGUUUUUCAACUGCAUUGGGUCCUGUUAUAAGUGCAUAUACAUCUGGAAUGCUUCCAUCUUUAAAUUAAAAGCACUUUAUCACAUCUGAAGGUUCUCUGCAGAGAGUCACUUUCUGACUGCUUAGGAACUUGAUAAGCCAAAUAGUAUUCCAUCACUGUAGGUAAACAGUUCUGGGAAAGAAAAAUCUACAGUCUUUGACAAUUCUUCCUGUCAAUUGUUUGUACCUCAUUCUAGAAAUUACAUAUCUUCAUGCCGGAAACACUAUUUGGAUGCGUGUGGAUGAUUCUGAAAAUUGAUAUAGUCUGAAGGAUGUAUAUGUACAUUUAUAUAUAGACACAAUAUAACCCAAUUGAUAUUCCAUUGAAGCUUUGUAUUCAUUUCAUCAGAUUAUCGUGUACCUAAAUUAUGUGUGGAAAUUUAUACUUAGUAGAUUCUCAAAUAUUAUUGGCUAAACUGCAUUUCACAGGAAAUGUAUUUCUCAGGAGUGUUUUCUCAUUGUUUUCCUUAAAAAACAAUGCUGGCACCCAGCAAAAUAAUAAAAUUAAAAAAUAAAAUAAAAUGCAAAUACUGCCUAAGGGAAUACAGUGAAAAGAAUUGGUUCUCACUCUCCUAUCCUUCAAGGCUCCUAGUUCUUCGCCUCAGAGGAAUUUGGUGUUACCUGUUUCUUUUGGAAUGGCCUGUCCAUCUAGAAGCAUACUACCAUUUUACACACAAAAGAUAGCAUGCUCUAUGUGAUUUGGUACCUUGCCUUUUUCAUAGUUUAGGUUUUUAUAGUUUCACACAUUGCAACAUUGAAAACAGACGAAGAUAGGCUGUGGCAGAUACAGAAAUUUUUUCUAGACAAAAAGACAAGAUUUCUCUAGACAAAACACUCCUGGCUUUCUGGCAAAAAUGUGGUAUUUGUUGAAAAUCUCUGAUGUGUUAGAUAGCCUUAGUGCCAAAAAUAUUUAGCAAAAAAAUUCUAAGGAAAGAGCCUUCUGCAGUUUGGAUUUGCUCUUGGCAGACAGAAGCUCAGCGAAAGGGACCUGAGAGGAGUUGAGAAACUUCUGACAUACCCACUUUGAAGUGGGGGUCCAGCCAGUACUUAGAGGGAAAUAUUGUUUAUCUAGGUGGUGAAUAGGUUUUCAGUGGGUCUUGUAUUUCCUCAUCAAGACUGUUUGAAAAUAUAACUUUCUGCUUGAUACCCAAAAACGUAAGUGCCUUUUAGAACUGAGACACUUGCUACAUUUGCAAUUAGUUUAAACUAGUUGUGCAACAAUUUGAUUAAUAAGUUUUAUGUUGUGGAAGUAGCCUUAAAAUAUUGUCUUUGCAGUUGGGAAGGAAUAAAGAAACAUCUUAAGGAUACUAGUAUUUUGCAGCAAAAUUUGAGGUUAUAAAGAGGAAAAUAAAACUGCCAUAGAGAUGAAACACAAAGUUUAUUUGAAUUAUUUUACUUUUUUUUGCUAAAUUCAUCAGUUUCUGAGAUCUGGUUCUCAUU